UACGUAGGAAGCAAGCGUUGUCCGGAAUUACUGGGCGUAAAGGGUGCGUAGGCUGUUUUUUAAGUCUGAUGUGAAAUCCUGUGGCUUAACCAUAGAACUGCAUCAGAUACUGGGAGACUAGAGUGCGGAAGAGGUUGACGGAAUUACUAGUGUAGCGGUAGAAUGCGUAGAUAUUAGUAAGAAGACCGGUGGCGAAGGCGGUCAACUGGGACGUAACUGACGCUGAGGCACGAAAGCGUGGGGAGCAAACAGG
rnacentral:rRNA from 1 species